GUGGGGAAUAUUGAACAAUGGGCGAAAGCCUGAUCCAGCCAUGCCGCGUGUGUGAAGAAGGUCUUCGGAUUGUAAAGCACUUUAAGUUGGGAGGAAGGGCAGUAAGUUAAUACCUUGCUGUUUUGACGUUACCGACAGAAUAAGCACCGGCUAACUCUGUGCCAGCAGCCGCGGUAAUACAGAGGGUGCAAGCGUUAAUCGGAAUUACUGGGCGUAAAGCGCGCGUAGGUGGUUCGUUAAGUUGGAUGUGAAAGCCCCGGGCUCAACCUGGGAACUGCAUCCAAAACUGGCGAGCUAGAGUACGGUAGAGGGUGGUGGAAUUUCCUGUGUAGCGGUGAAAUGCGUAGAUAUAGGAAGGAACACCAGUGGCGAAGGCGACCACCUGGACUGAUACUGACACUGAGGUGCGAAAGCGUGGGGAGCAAACAGGAUUAGAUACCCCUGUAGUCC
rnacentral:rRNA from 1 species